GUUCAACCUGGUCUCGUUCCAGCAGCUGCUCCAGGACCGACAGGGCGAGGAGAGGACGACCAACCACAAAGAGCCACAGAACUUGGUACCUGACGCACAGCGCCACCGUGAGUCCAGGUUGAGGCGCAGCAGCAGCGUUCAGGAGAUCUUCUCCUCACCGAGAAACCAGCUCCUCAGACAGAGCAGCCUGCAGCAGCAGAAGGAGCUGGAGCAGGAACUGACUGAACAGAGAGGACUGACUCAGGCCAUCGCUCGACACGGCAGCAGAGCUCGACUUUACAGCAGCGAGUCGGAGGACCACACCCAGCUGUCACCAUGUUGGCCUCCUGCUGAGGCUGAUGUGGUCGGCGGCGGCGUUCCCUCGGCGUGGGACGGUCUUCACAGUCGGCUGCUGGCUCUGGAGGAGAGCUGGCUGCUUCCUCCCUCUGAGGUGACAGACUCAUCUGUGAGGCGUAGUGAUGGAACAGCAGGACGCAUGAUUGGCACAGAAAACCUGAAAGAGCUUC